AAAAUAAAAUAAUAAUAAUAAUAACACCACAAACCUUUGAUUUCCCAUGAAAUGUUCAAAGAAAAAAAUGGUACAGCAAAAGUACUUUAUCCAGCACAAACAUAUAACAGUAUGCGGAAAAGUGUCCAUGCCAAGUAUAAAGUGAAUUUAAGCUAAGAUCAUCAGUAACAACGACAGCCACUUAUAAAUAGUUCGAUAGUUAAAUCCUUGAUUUUCCAUGAAAUGGUCAAUGGAAAAGGUUCAGGAAUAGUACUUCUUCCUUUCCAAACAUAAAACAGUAUGGAACAAAUGCAUCCGUAACGCAUAAGUAAACCUAAGCUAAGAUUGUCAUAGCAGCAUAGCAAUGGAAAAAUUGAAUUGUUAAAUCCUG
rnacentral:misc_RNA from 1 species